rnacentral:misc_RNA from 1 species
GAUGAAGAACGUAGCGAAAUGCGAUAAGUAGUGUGAAUUGCAGAAUUCAGUGAAUCAUCGAAUCUUUGAACGCACAUUGCGCCCCUUGGUAUUCCAUGGGGCAUGCCUGUUCGAGCGUCAUUUGUACCUUCAAGCUUUGCUUGGUGUUGGGUGUUUGUCUCGCCUUUGCGUGUAGACUCGCCUUAAAAUAAUUGGCAGCCGGCGUAUUGAUUUCGGAGCACAGUACAUCUCGCGCUUUGCACUCAUAACGACAGCGUCCAAAAGUACAUUUUACACUCUUGACCUCGGAUCAGGUAGGGAUACCCGCUGAACUUAAGCAUAUCAAUAAGCGGAGGA